rnacentral:lncRNA from 1 species
AUGUUUCUUCUGUCUCUAUUUUAUUCUGCUGCUAUUCUUGUUCAGUGGCUCAGUUGUGUUGGACUCUGUGGCGCCAUGAACUGCAGCACCCUGGACUUCCGUGCCCUUCACUAUCUCUCUGAGUUAUUGUAUUCCGAUGACACUUCAGAGAAGAAGAGGACGUCAUCGUCAACCAUCAUGACCACGCAGCAGCUCCACACGGUUGCCACUCUAAGAACUCGGAACAUGAACUCUCCCGCUGGCUGAUGUGUUGAGGUUUCACAUCCAAAUCUUCAUUACAUACUAGGACACAAAGUGCUGGAAAUGAACACAAGAGAAUAGGAUUCGAUUAGAAGAGGAAGUUGUAUCAAGUUGCUUCUUUUCCUAUUUUAAUGAGGGAAUUAAUUUUAACCAUUAAGAAAUGGAGAGACCCGUUCUUCAUUUUUGCUCGGUGACUUACAAUUUCCAGAUAAUGCAAGGCUUUUACCUGUAGAUAUAGAAUGACCUUGUCUUGAACCCCUGAAAAUAUUAUGCUGAAAUGAAUAGAACAGGUAAUAAAUGAAAUGGUUAAUUUUUGGUGGUGAAAGACCUGUUAGCACUUCUUGCUUUCUCUUCCUAGAAAUACAUAUGCAUCUGGGUAGGGCUGUGCUUUGGAAGACACCCUGAAGUAGAAGCAAAAAGAUUCUUUGCUUAAAGCAUUAAAACCACCACCACAACCAACGGCAACAAAACCAACAAAACCUAGGACAAACGAGUUUUGUGGCAACAACAAUAAAAGCCCAGGUCAGGUAAGUAAGCACAGAGUUAUUUCUUAAGGAACACAAAUUAAGUGUUCAGCGUUUGUCCUUUCUUUUGGAUUAUGCUGCUUGCAAAGAGAAUCAUUUGAAAGGAUUAAUAUGCUAUGCUAUGCUAUGCUAAGUCACUUCAGUUAUGUCCGACUCUGUGUGACCCCAUAGACGGCAGCCCACCAGGCUCCCCUGUCCCUGGGAUUCUCCAGGCAAGAACACUGGAGUGGGUUGCCAUUUCCUUCUCCAGUGCAUGAAAGUGAAAAGUGAAAGUGAAGUCGCUCAGUCAUGUCCGACUCUUAGCGACCCCAUGGACUGCAGCCUACCAGGCUGCUCCGUCCAUGGGAUUUUCCAGGCAGAGUACUGGAGUGGGGUGCCAUUGCCUUCUCAGGAAAGGAUUAAUAAAACACCAUCAAAACUCAAACUAGGACUAAACAAUUAAACACAGUUGGCAGUAUCUAUUCUUAAUUCAUCUAUACAAUUAGGUCUCCAGUUUUUAAGCAUCUUAGCAUCCAGUGUUUUGUCUCUAGACACAAAAACUAUGCUCCAGGUGGCUCUAAAACUCAAGAGACGACUUGAUAAAGAAGGUGAUUUGGAAGGUGUGACUGUGAUCACCUCAAAGGAAGGGAUUGAAUUGGGGUCAAAGAUGAAAUUGGAAAAGAAUUGACAGUUUGUAGAAAAGACGUGCUGAAUUAAAAGUUGGUUUUAUUACUGUUCCUAUUGGAAGUGAGAAGUAAUUCCAGUAACUCUAGGGUAGUGAUCAUAAUUCCAGGUCAUGCUUUCCUCUCUGUUUUCAAAUUCAGUUGUGCUAUUUCCAAGAGCCCAGCAAAAGAGAACAAGAGUCUGCCUCUGAAUCUCAGAGUCCUGUGAUCGGCUGAAAUAACUACUGAGACCUCGUGUUCCAACAGCACUUUAUCAAGUGUUUUCACAUAAAAGAUCUUUCUUGAUAUAACUCUUGCGUGGUGUGUCUUCCAUUUUCUAGACAGUGUGAGUUUUUUGAUGUGUGAGAUGAACUGAAACAGGAAGAGGGACAGGAAAUUUACAGACCUGUGGAAUAAUAUUCCACAAUGGGGUAUUCUUUAUAAUUAUCCUGGCUGAAUGGCACCACCCAAAGUUCUUAAAUCAUCAACAAUGCUGUUUUUACUGUAGAGGAUAAGAGUUACGAUCCUGCGACCCUUUAAAUCUUCUUCCUUGACAAAAGUGAUCUACCUCUCCAGCCAGCCUGUCUUGAUGAUCCAUGGCGGUGCCACGCUGGUGCUGGAUGUGUGUGAUGGAGGGCUCCUAAAAGGCUCUUGGUAGGAGGAAAGUGCUACUUACAUAGAGCAGGAAUCUUGUGAGAUUUAAAGGGGGGAAGAUGCUAGUUCGAGUCAUGAAUAACAAUUCAGCCAAAAGCACUUUUGCAUUGCUGCUGCUGCUGCUGCUAAGUCGCUUCAGUCGUGUCUGACUCUGUGCAACCCCAUAGACGGCAGCCCACCAGGCUCCCCCAUCCCUGGGAAGAACACUGAAGUGGGUUUCCAUUUCCUUCUCCAAUGCAUGAAAGUGAAAAGUCAAAGUGAAGUCGCUCAGUCGUGUCUGACUCUUAGCGACCCCAUGGACUGCAGCCCACCAGGCUCCUCCAUCCAUGGGAUUUUCCAGGCAAGAGUACUGGAGUGGGGUGCCAUUACCUUCUCCGCACUGCUGUUUUUGUUUUCUGUAACUUGUAACCAAGAUUUUUUUUUAAAGAUUUUAAACAUGACAUUAGUUUCUUGACAGCACGGGUUAC